AGUGCUAAAUAUCUGAAAUGUCUUCUGCCACUUUAAUUAUGUGUUAUUCGUCUGAAGAUUCACAUAUUGCUUUGGGAUAAUAUUUUUUAUUCGCUUGCAGACACAUAUUUUGCAUUUGUUAGUUGAGAAUCAAAAUGCCAACAGAUGAUGUUAAUGCACUGUGCAUAUACUUGUUGAUGGAAGAACAACUUUUCCAUCAACGUUUGAUUUUAUUACUGGUAGCUUACCAUAUUAUGGUUAGGAUGGCAUCACGUAAACGAAAAAGAGGUUCCAAUAGGGCAGCUUUUGGUAUGAUUGAACGCAUUCCUGAUCAAGUUAUGCAUAUGAAUAGGCUUGUGGGUGUUAGUGAUGUCGAUUGUCUAGCGAACUUACGCAUGGACCGCAACACAUUCGGUCGACUUUGCAUUUUAUUACGUGAUUUAAGGGGGUUAUCAGAUGGGAGGUUCAUUAAGGUGUAAGAACAAGUGGCAAUGUUUUUGUCCAUUUUAGCACACCACAAAAAAAUAGGGUUGUGAGGUUCGAUUUUUGGCGGCCCGGUCAAACUGUGUCAAAAUUCGUGCACCUCGUCCUAAAGGCAAUUCUAAAAUUGCACAUUGUUUUACUUGUCAAACCUGUCCCCGUUCCAGAUGAUUGUAUGGACAACAGAUGGCGAUGGUUCAAGGGUUGUUUGGGUGCUCUUGAUGGCACAUAUAUAAACGUACUGGUGAGCAAUGCUGACAAGCCUAGGUACCUAACACGGAAAGGCCAGAUAUCUACUAACACUCGCUGUUUGUGAUCAAAAUAUGAAGUUCGUCUACGCGUUGCCUGGUUGGGAGGGUUCAGCGACGGAUUCAAGAAUAUUACGUGAUGCCCUCAUACGGGUGAAUGGGUUAAGGGUGCCUAAAGGAAACUAUUAUCUAUGCGACAACGGGUACGCCAAUAGCGAGGGAUUUCUUACUCCGUACAAGAGCAUACGCUACCAUCUAAAGGAAUGGGGACCGAACACAGCCCGACCGCAAAAUGCAAUGGAAUUAUUCAACCUACGCCAUUCGAAGGCACGAAACGUUAUUGAACAUGCUUUCGGAAUUAUGAAAAUGCGUUGGGGUAUCUUGAGAAGCAAGACCUUUUAUCCCGUGAAGACCCAAAACCGACUAAUCAUGUCGUGCUUCAUUUUGAAUAAUUUCAUCUGAGCGGAAAUGGCCGACGAUCCUAUCAAGCAAGAAUUUGAUAAUGCAACUACGAACGAGCAGGAGGAUGCUGAGAUUGAGGGUGAAUUCAUCGAUGGAAUAGAGUCUUCACCCGUAUGGAAUGCGGAGCGAGAUGCAAUUGCCCAAGCCAUGUGGCUCAAUUAUUUAAACAACAUUUGAAUUGCUUCACAUUUGUAGAUUUUCUAGUGAAACUUGGCUCGUUUUGUCUGCACACAUUUGCUAGGGACUAAAGAUUGCCUAACUGACCUUACUUUUAGUUGCAAU